rnacentral:rRNA from 1 species
AACGAACGCUGGCGGCAUGCCUAACACAUGCAAGUCGAACGAGACCUUCGGGUCUAGUGGCGCACGGGUGCGUAACGCGUGGGAACCUGCCCUUAGGUUCGGAAUAACUCCCCGAAAGGGGUGCUAAUACCGGAUAAUGUCUGCGGACCAAAGAUUUAUCGCCUUUGUAUGGGCCCGCGUUGGAUUAACUAGUUGGUAGGGUAAAAGCCUACCAAGGCGACGAUCCAUAGCUGGUCUGAGAGGAUGAUCAGCCACACUGGGACUGAGACACGGCCCAGAAUCUUACGGGAGGCAGCCGUGGGGAAUCUUGGAAAACCGGCGAAAGCAUGAUCCAGCACUGCCGCGUGAGUGAUGAAGGCCUUAGGGUUGUAAAGCUCUUUUACCCGGGAUGAUAAUGACAGUACCGGGAGAAUAAGCUCCGGCUAACUCCGUG